rnacentral:rRNA from 1 species
AUUGAACGCUGGCGGCAUGCUUUACACAUGCAAGUCGAACGGCAGCACGGACUCCGGUCUGGUGGCGAGUGGCGAACGGGUGAGUAAUACAUCGGAACGUGCCUAGUAGUGGGGGAUAACUACUCGAAAGAGUGGCUAAUACCGCAUGAGAUCUACGGAUGAAAGCAGGGGAUCGCAAGACCUUGUGCUACUAGAGCGGCCGAUGGCAGAUUAGGUAGUUGGUGGGAUAAAAGCUUACCAAGCCGACGAUCUGUAGCUGGUCUGAGAGGACGAUCAGCCACACUGGGACUGAGAGACGGCCCAGACACCUACGGGAGGAAGCGGUGGGGAAUUUUGGACAAUGGGCGCAAGCCUGAUCCAGCCAUUCCGCGUGCAGGAGGAUGGCCCUCGGGUUGUAAACUGCUUUUGUACGGAACGAAACGGUCCUGGUUAAUACCCGGGGCUAAUGCCGGUACCGUAAGAAUAAGCACCGGCUAACUACGUGCCAGCAGCAGCCGCGGUAA